rnacentral:lncRNA from 1 species
AUUGGAUCCAUAGGGCAAGUGCAUAAAGAUUUAAAAAAAAAAAAAAGUGGGAAGAGACAGUGACACCAGGAGAGGUCCAAGGACAAAACCUUGGGGAAACGUGACACGUAGAAGUUAGGCAGAGAAAUAAAUCAGAAAGGGAAAGUGAAUAGUGACCAGAGGGAAAGGAGACCUGGAGAGAGCUGGUGGGGGGGGGGGNUCCCAGAGAUGUCAGGAAACAAUGUUUAGGAAGCAGGAGGGGAGUGCUCAAUUGUGUCAGAGUCUAAGACGAUUUCUAUCAUACCCACCAAGAGUUUCAUAGUGAAGUGAACCUGACUUUGCCUCCGAGCUUUGGGUAGGAGUAGCAACUGACACAACCUCUCCAAGAUUCCGAUCCAACUUCCUUUAAUUGGAGAAGAGCACUUAUCUCUUUCUCACAGGGCUAAAAUGCUUCACCUGGUGCUGACUGCAGAAAGCCCUCACCAAUGAUACCACCACCACUAUCAGGGAAAAUGAGAGAUGUGAUACACAAUUGUUCAAAAUACAGAGAUGCCUACUCUGAAAAAAUAAAGUCAUAAGAUUCUGCAGCAUUUAAUACUUUAAAGACAGAAGAUUGUGUGACUUCAAAAACAGUGAAAUUAUAGAUACCUGGAAAUGAGCAGCCUUUGUGUUGGAAGACAGGUAACUGGAAAUCAGAAGCUUUACGUACGGCUGGGUGAGGGACUUUAAAAUGAACAAAAACGAUGUUCAAACAAAGGGAUCUUGAGGACGCCUGUAUAAACAACAUCUUUACUUUAUGGAGAGGCCGAAUGUCUUAUGCAGAUCCCAUGAUUUACUAACUCCCAUAAGUUGAUUUUGUAAUGGUAAUUCAGUCUCUGUGAUAUCACACGUAUCUGGCAAAAGGGUCAUAUGGUGAGUCACCCAAAACAAAUCACAUAGUGUGAUGCUCCUGACCACGUCCUGCAUCCCCUCUGGACAGCAAACAAGGUGACAUGCAUAAAGAUCUCAGUCUUUCAGAAGAAGGAACUUUGAGGGGAGUGGUCCUAUCUAAUUAAAUAAAAUACUUCAUUACUGCA